rnacentral:rRNA from 1 species
GAUGAACGCUGGCGGCGUGCCUAAUACAUGCAAGUCGAGCGAACGGACGAGAAGCUUGCUUCUCUGAUGUUAGCGGCGGACGGGUGAGUAACACGUGGAUAACCUACCUAUAAGGCUGGGAUAACUUCGGGAAACCGUAGCUAAUACCGGAUAAUAUUUUGAACCGCAUGGUUCAAAAGUGAAAGACGGUCUUGCUGUCACUUAUAGAUGGAUCCGCGCUGCAUUAGCUAGUUGGUAAGGUAACGGCUUACCAAGGCAACGAUGCAUAGCCGACCUGAGAGGGUGAUCGGCCACACUGGAACUGAGACACGGUCCAGACUCCUACGGGAGGCAGCAGUAGGGAAUCUUCCGCAAUGGGCGAAAGCCUGACGGAGCAACGCCGCGUGAGUGAUGAAGGUCUUCGGAUCAUAAAACUCUGUUAUUAGGGAAGAACAUAUGUGUAAGUAACUGUGCACAUCUUGACGGUACCUAAUCAGAAAGCCACGGCUAACUACGUG